rnacentral:rRNA from 1 species
CGAUUGCGAAGGCAGCUUACUAUGGUUUAAUUGACGCUGAGGCACGAAAGCGUGGGGAUCAAACAGGAUUAGAUACCCUGGUAGUCC